UACGAAGGAUCCAAGCGUUAUCCGGAUUCAUUGGGUUUAAAGGGUGCGUAGGCGGACUUAUAAGUCAGUGGUGAAAGCCGAUAGCUUAACUAUCGAACUGCCAUUGAUACUGUAGGUCUAGAGUAUAGAUGAUGUUGGCGGAAUAUGACAUGUAGCGGUGAAAUGCAUAGAUAUGUCAUAGAACACCGAUUGCGAAGGCAGCUGACAAAACUAUAACUGACGCUGAUGCACGAAAGUGUGGGGAUCAAACAGG
rnacentral:rRNA from 1 species